rnacentral:rRNA from 1 species
CCCAGACUCCUACGGGAGGCAGCAGUGGGGAAUAUUGCACAAUGGGGGAAACCCUGAUGCAGCGACGCCGCGUGAGUGAAGAAGUAUUUCGGUAUGUAAAGCUCUAUCAGCAGGGAAGAAAAUGACGGUACCUGAUUAAGAAGCCCCGGCUAACUACGUGCCGGCAGCCGCGGUAAUACGUAGGGGGCAAGCGUUAUCCGGAUUUACUGGGUGUAAAGGGAGCGUAGACGGUGAUGCAAGUCAGAAGUGAAAGCCCGGGGCUCAACUCCGGGACUGCUUUUGAAACUGUGUGACUGGAGUGCAGGAGAGGUAAGCGGAAUUCCUGGUGUAGCGGUGAAAUGCGUAGAUAUCAGGAGGAACACCAGUGGCGAAGGCGGCUUACUGGACUGCAACUGACGUUGAGGCUCGAAAGCGUGGGGAGCAAACAGGAUUAGAUACCCGAGUA